rnacentral:lncRNA from 1 species
GAAUGAUCUUGUUACAGUGUCAUGAGGUGAGAUUACUCCUUUGCUCAUAACUGCACCUCACCCACGUCUCGGGUUAAAGGUCUAUAUCUUUACAAAUGUAGGUCCUGUAGAAUCUGGCUCCCUGAUGCUCUCCUGCAACACUUCUUUCCUCUCUGACCUUAACCUGUUACUUACACUUCUGCUCCAGCCACACUAACCUAUUUGCUGCACUUCAGACAUGCAAGAUAAUCUCUCCAAAGGUCUUUGCACUCACUCUUUCCACUGGACUAAUGUUCCUUCUGUGACCACAUAAGCCAUCCCCUCGUAGUCUUUCCUCAAAGGCAGAAAUUUUAUUUGGUGCUAUAUUUUAGCACAUAUACCAGUACCUAAAACAAAGUAGUCACUCAGAAAAAGUAUUUACACUCAGAAUGAAUAAGCCCAGUGGAGGGGUAAUGGUAUGAUGUUAAGCACUGGACCAGGGAUUGUAAAACCAGGUUUUGGAUCUUUGCAAUUACUUUAACACAUGAAUUUGGGUAAGGUACCACAUCGCUGGGUCUCACCUUCUCCAUCUAUAAAAUGAGGGCUUUGUGUAAGAUGAUUUAAAAGUUUCUUUGCAGAGGUAAGAGCUAAUAAUUUCUCAAGAUCUUGUUCAUUUUGGAGCCAAUUGUAUGGAAUCAAACUUUAAGACCACAGUUAAUUUCUUUGACCCAAAGUCUCAUAGCUAAAAGGAAUAAUAUUUUAUGUGUAAUAUUUUAUCUCCUAGUAGCCUCAGGAUAAUGCUCUUGAGCCAUAUAUCAGAAGGGGAUCUCAAUUCUGGGCAAAAACAAAGCAAGGACCACAAGAGUUUUGUGUGAACUAUGCUUUCAACAUGACCUUGCAUGUAAGAACAGGUGAGCAGACAAAAAAUAAAAUUUGUACAUUUUUCUUUUCUUUCACCUAGAACACUUUGGUAAUUUUAUCUUUGCUAUCAUCAUCAUCACCAUCAUCAUCACUGUAUUAUUGUUAAUCUCUCUCAUACACACAUACCCUCUUAUGCUUUGGAUUUAAAAGGGACUAGGUGGGAAGGAGGAAAAAUCAAAGGAGCAAAAGAAAAUAGGGCUACUGAAAUACAAAGCAAAUGCCUUAAAAUGUAUAGAAGAAAAAUGAACUUAAGAGUUAAAACAAACAUUUAAAGUAAUUAAUUCUUUGGCUUCCUGUGAUAAAAGUGACUCAGGGUCGCCCCUAAGGUAUGAAAGAUCUAGAUGGCAAACAUUUGGAGGGAAAACCUAGCUUCAGAUUUAGUUGCUUUUAGUUGAUUUUAAACAUCACCAAUUUUGGAGAUCACACAGCUGAGCAAUAGAUCAUUAGCCUUCCACUAGGUUUGCUAUGGAUUACAUCUCUGAUGAACAGGUCGUGAUAAUGGUUAUCUAAGUUACUUUUCAGGGACUUAAAGAUCAUCUUUGUUGAAGCCAUCAACUCUUCACUUGAGCCUGCAUGUGUCCAAUGGAUGACCUUUUGACAUCAGGGCCCCCAUAAACUUCAUACUCAGAUCAUUCUAAUGCCACUAAUUUCUGAACAGACUUCCUAUGAAGAGCUAUGAAGGCUGAUUACACAUGUGCACAUCCCUAAUUAUCUCAUCUCCAAUCACCUGUCCACAUAUCUUAAAUAUCCUGAUUCUUUAUGUCAUAAAUAUCCCCAAACCCCAUCCUUUGGAUGUAGAUUUGAGACUUGGGUCACCUAUCUCUAUACUUCGCCAUCUUGAAAAUAAAUUAUUGCAAAAUUCGUUGUUUCA